rnacentral:rRNA from 1 species
GACGAACGCUGGCGGCGUGCUUAACACAUGCAAGUCGAACGGAAAGGCCCUGCUUUUGUGGGGUGCUCGAGUGGCGAACGGGUGAGUAACACGUGAGUAACCUGCCCUUGACUUUGGGAUAACUUCAGGAAACUGGGGCUAAUACCGGAUAGGAGCUCCUGCUGCAUGGUGGGGGUUGGAAAGUUUCGGCGGUUGGGGAUGGACUCGCGGCUUAUCAGCUUGUUGGGGGGGUAGUUGCUUACCAAGGCUUUGACGGGUAGCCGGCCUGAGAGGGUGACCGGCCACAUUGGGACUGAGAUACGGCCCAGAAUCCUACGGGAGGCAGCAGUGGGGAAUAUUGCACAAUGGGCGGAAGCCUGAUGCGACAACGCCGCGUGCGGGAUGACGGCCUUCGGGUUGUAAACCGCUUUCGCCUGUGACGAAGCGUGAGUGACGGUAAUGGGUAAAGAAGCACCGGCUAACUACGUG